ensembl:snoRNA SNORA73 Small nucleolar RNA SNORA73 family
CUGACGUGGAUACCCGGGAGGUCACUCUCCCCGGGCUCUGUCCAGGUGGCAUAGGAGAGCAUAGGGCUCUGUCCCAUGAUGUACAGUCCCUUUCCACAACUUUGGAGAAGAAGCUGGGCCUUGUGCCUGCACCUGCAUAUUCCUAUAACUUCUCAGAGUUCUUUGGACAGUGACUGAGGAGAUAAACCAGGCAGGCAACAAUG